AAUGAACGUUGGCGGCAUGGAUUAGGCAUGCAAGUCGAGCGAGAAGGAGUGCAAAGUUUACUUUGGACUCCGGAAAGCGGCGAAAGGGAGAGUAACGCGUAGUUAUCUACCCCCGGGACCGGAAUAGCCACGGGAAACUGUGGGUAAUGCCGGAUAAUAUCUUUGGAUCAAAGGUGUGAUUCCGCCUGGGGAGGAGACUGCGUUGUACUAGCUAGUUGGUGGGGUAAUGGCCUACCAAGGCGGCGAUGCAUAGCGGGCGUGAGAGCGUGGCCCGUCUCACGGGGACUGAAACACUGCCCAGACACCUACGGGUGGCUGCAGUCGAGAAUCUUCGGCAAUGGGCGAAAGCCUGACCGAGCGAUGCCGCGUGCGGGAUGAAGGCCUUCGGGUUGUAAACCGCUGUCGUAGAGGAGAAAGGCUCUGUGAAGAACAGGGUUUGAUCUAUUCUAGGAGGAAGUCGGGGCUAAGUUCGUGCCAGCAGCCGCGGUAAUAC
rnacentral:rRNA from 1 species